GAUAACGUCCCGAAAGGACGCUUAAUACCGCAUGACAUCCUGCCUUUGAAGAGGUGGAGAUCAAAGCUGGGGAUCGCAAGACCUAGCACUUGAAGAGGGGCCCGCGCCUGAUUAGCUAGUUGGUGGGGUAACGGCUCACCAAGGCAACGAUCAGUAUCCGGCCUGAGAGGGCGGACGGACACACUGGGACUGAGACACGGCCCAGACUCCUACGGGAGGCAGCAGUGGGGAAUUGUUCGCAAUGGGCGCAAGCCUGACGACGCAACGCCGCGUGGAGGAUGAAGACCUUCGGGUCGUAAACUCCUUUCGAUCGAGACGAAUGGCUUCCGGGUGAACAAUCCGGGAGAAUGACGGUACCGAGAGAAGAAGCCCCGGCUAACUCCGUGCCAGCAGCCGCGGUAAUACGGGGGGGGCAAGCGUUGUUCGGAAUUACUGGGCGUAAAGGGCUCGUAGGCGGCCAACUAAGUCAGACGUGAAAUCCCUCGGCUUAACCCGGGGAACUGCAUCUGAUACUGGAUGGCUUGGGAUUGGGAGAGGGAUGCGGAAUUCCAGGUGUAGCGGUGAAAUGCGUAGAUAUCUGGAGGAACACCGGUGGCGAAGGCGGCAUUCUGGACCAACACUGACGCU
rnacentral:rRNA from 1 species